rnacentral:rRNA from 1 species
AGAGAUGUGUGAUGACGCAUAUCAAUAAGCGGAGGAAAAGAAACUAACAAGGAUUCCCUUAGUAACGGCGAGUGAAGCGGGAAGAGCUCAAAUUUGAAAUCUUCAAGGUUCUACCUUGACGAAUUGUAGUUUAUAGAAGUGUUUUCUGUUAGUGGAGUGGCAAAAGUUCUUUGGAAUAGGACAUCAUAGAGGGUGAGAAUCCCGUAUUUGGUCAUUCCUCCUAGCGUUGUGAUACACUUUCAACGAGUCGGAUUGUUUGGGAAUGCAGUCCAAAAUGGGUGGUAAAUUCCAUCUAAAGCUAAAUAUUGGCGAGAGACCGAUAGCGAACAAGUACCGUGAGGGAAAGAUGAAAAGAACUUUGAAAAGAGAGUUAAACAGUACGUGAAAUUGUCAAAAGGGAAGCGUUUGACACCAGUGUUGUUUUUCCGAAAAUCAAUUACGAAUGUUUUGUUUUUGAGGAGUUAUGACUUCAUCGGCUUGCUCCUUUCUUUAUGAAACUUUCUUAAUGCACUUUUCGGUUAACAAGUCAACAUCAAUUUCUUUUGUUGUAAAAGGGUAUGAGGAAGGUGGCUUUCUUUUCGGAGAAAGUGUUUAUAGCCUUGUGCCUCUGCAAUCGGAGAGAUUGAGGUCUGCAGCGUAGAUCCUUCGGGGUUAGAUACGUUUGUGCUAAGUUAUAGCUUUUCAUAGACAACUUGUUGACUAUGUUUAGUCUUGUAGCUUACUCGCUUACGCUAUUUUACCUACGCUUAGGAUGUUGAACUCUAUCACACACAG